CCCUUAGAUGUUCUGGGCCGCACGCGCGCUACACUGAUGAACGCAACGAGACCACCUGUACCGAAAGGCAUGGGUAAACUUGUGAAAGUUCAUCGUGAUGGGGAUAGAUUAUUGCAAUUAUUAAUCUUCAACGAGGAAUUCCUAGUAAGCGCGAGUCAUCAGCUCGCGUUGAUUACGUCCCUGCCCUUUGUACACCCCGCCCGUCGCUCCUACCGAUUGAAUGGUCCGGUGAAAUCUUCGGAUUGCUGGAUAGGACUUCAUUGACCUAUCUGCGAGAAGUUGCUUGAACCUUAUCAUUUAGAGGAAGGAGAAGUCGUAACA
rnacentral:rRNA from 1 species